UGGGGAAUCUUCCGCAAUGGACGAAAGUCUGACGGAGCAACGCCGCGUGAGUGAUGACGGCCUUCGGGUUGUAAAGCUCUGUUAAUCGGGACGAAUGGUUCUUGUGCGAAUAGUGCAAGGAUUUGACGGUACCGGAAUAGAAAGCCACGGCUAACUACGUGCCAGCAGCCGCGGUAAUACGUAGGUGGCAAGCGUUGUCCGGAAUUAUUGGGCGUAAAGCGCGCGCAGGCGGAUUGGUCAGUCUGUCUUAAAAGUUCGGGGCUUAACCCCGUGAUGGGAUGGAAACGGCCAAGCUAGAGUAUCGGAGAGGAAAGUGGAAUUCCUAGUGUAGCGGUGAAAUGCGUAGAUAUUAGGAAGAACACCAGUGGCGAAGGCGACUUUCUGGACGAAAACUGACGCUGAGGCGCGAAAGCCAGGGGAGCGAACGGG
rnacentral:rRNA from 1 species